UACGAGGGGGGCGAGCGUUGUUCGGAAUUAUUGGGCGUAAAGGGUGCGUAGGCGGUUCCGCAAGUCCUGUGUGAAAUCUUCGGGCUCAACUCGAAGUCUGCACGGGAAACUGCGGGGCUUUGAGUGUGGGAGAGGUGAGUGGAAUUCCCGGUGUAGCGGUGAAAUGGCGUAGAUAUCGGGAGGAACACCUGUGGCGAAAGCGGCUCACUGGACCAUAACUGACGCUGAUGCACGAAAGCUGGGGGAGCAAACAGG
rnacentral:rRNA from 1 species